rfam:Actinoplanes sp. N902-109, complete genome.
AACCAACCCCACGGGAGUCCGGUGCACCGGGCUGAGAGGGGGGCUGUCGCGGCCCCCGACCGUCGAACCUGAUCCGGAUCAUGCCGGCGCAGGGAGGAGUGUGUUGUGGGCC